GAUGAACGCUGGCGGCGUGCUUAACACAUGCUAGUCGAACGGAAAGGCUCCUGCUUGCAGGGGUACUCGAGUGGCGAACGGGUGAGUAACACGUGGGUGAUCUGCCCUGCACUUCGGGAUAAGCCUGGGAAACUGGGUCUAAUACCGGAUAGGACGAUGGUUUGGAUGCCAUUGUGGAAAGUUUUUCGGUGUGGGAUGAGCUCGCGGCCUAUCAGCUUGUUGGUGGGGUAAUGGCCUACCAAGGCGUCGACGGGUAGCCGGCCUGAGAGGGUGUACGGCCACAUUGGGACUGAGAUACGGCCCAGACUCCUACGGGAGGCAGCAGUGGGGAAUAUUGCACAAUGGGCGCAAGCCUGAUGCAGCGACGCCGCGUGGGGGAUGACGGCCUUCGGGUUGUAAACUCCUUUCGCUAGGGACGAAGCGCAAGUGACGGUACCUGGAGAAGAAGCACCGGCUAACUACG
rnacentral:rRNA from 1 species